GAUGAACGCUGGCGGCGUGCCUAAUACAUGCAAGUCGAGCGAACAGACGAGGAGCUUGCUCCUCUGACGUUAGCGGCGGACGGGUGAGUAACACGUGGAUAACCUACCUAUAAGACUGGGAUAACUUCGGGAAACCGGAGCUAAUACCGGAUAAUAUAUUGAACCGCAUGGUUCAAUAGUGAAAGACGGUUUUGCUGUCAUUUAUAGAUGGAUCCGCGCCGCAUUAGCUAGUUGGUAAGGUAACGGCUUACCAAGGCAACGAUGCGUAGCCGACCUGAGAGGGUGAUCGGCCACACAGGAACUGAGACACGGUCCAGACUCCUACGGGAGGCAGCAGUAGGGAAUCUUCCGCAAUGGGCGAAAGCUUGACGGAGCAACGCCGCGUGAGUGAUGAAGGUCUUCGGAUCGUAAAACUCUGUUAUUAGGGAAGAACAAAUGUGUAAGUAACUAUGCACGUCUUGACGGUACCUAAUCAGAAAGCCACGGCUAACUACGUG
rnacentral:rRNA from 1 species